rnacentral:rRNA from 1 species
GAACUUAAGCAUAUCAAUAAGCGGAGGAAAAGAAACUAACAAGGAUUCCCCUAGUAACGGCGAGUGAAGCGGGAACAGCUCAAAUUUGAAAUCUCAGCGCAAGCUGCGAAUUGUAGUUUAGAGAAACGUUUUCGGGGCCGGCAGCCAGUACAAGUUCUUUGGAACAAGGCAUCACAGAGGGUGAAAAUCCCGUCUUUGACUGGCUGCUUGGUUCCAUGUGAUACGUUUUCCAAGAGUCGGUUUGUUUGGGAAUGCAGACCAAAAUGGGUGGUAAAUACCAUCUAAAGCUAAAUAUUGGCGAGAGACCGAUAGCGAACAAGUACCGUGAGGGAAAGAUGAAAAGAACUUUGAAAAGAGAGUUAAACAGUGCGUGAAAUUGUCAAAAGGGAAACGUUUAAAACCAGUAUUGCGGGCAGAAACUCAGGUUCCAUUUAUGGUGCUGUAUUUUUCUGUCGGCGAGUCAACAUCAGUUUUGCUUGGAGUAAAACGCCAGGGGAAGGUAGCCUUCGGGUGUUAUAGCCUCUGGUAAUGCUCUGGGCGGGACUGAGGACUGCAGCGUUCUUUGGGUUUACCACACCAACGCUUAGGAUGUUGACGAAAUGGUUUUAAGCGACCCGUCUUGAAACACGGACCAAGGAGUCUAACAUAUAUGCGAGUAUUUGGGCGGCAAACCCUUAUGCGUAAUGAAAGUGAAAAGGUGGGAUCCUUUGCUGGUGCACCAUCGACCGCGCCAGAUUAUUGCUAUCUCGGCGUGAGUAUGAGCAUACAUGUUGGGACCCGAAA